rnacentral:lncRNA from 1 species
AUAUAAUUAUAGAAUCAUCAAACCAAUAACAUACUAGAUUUUAAUGAAAAUGUGAAAAUCUAUAAACCAAUAGACUUGAAAUUUCUAAUAUUAUAAAUCUAAUUCCCAGAAACACCCCCUAAGUUGAUUAUUGGCUAAUUAUUACAUAUCAAACUUGAUAUUUCCCCACGACUUUGGUCCAUUAAGUGAUACUAUACUUUAUGCCGCUCGAAUCAUUGUAAGUAUUUUUCUAUUGUCUACCAAAGAGAAAAAUUGAAGCUGAAAUCUGUCAAAAACUUAAGCUAAUGAUUCUAAUCUCGUUGAUAUUAAAUGGCAUAAUGAAUAAAAACGUAAUUUUGGGAAUAUUCGUGCAACGAUGUGAGUUUCUUAAAUUGUAUUUUCAGUGUCUGCUCUGCAUGUUCUUGAGAGUGUUAAGAGAAAUUAAAGGAAUCAACGUAAACUAUCGAAUUGACAUUUGUUUUUGCAGUUAGAUAUUAAAUAAUUGUUCUUUGACACCUAGCAGACAGCCUAUUGAUAUCACAUUAAUUACAAAAAUUAUCGCUUCCAUUUUCUUAUUGGUAUCCCCAUAUAAUUUUGAUAAACAGAGGUUUAAUUUUGAGUGUCAUUUAAUAUGUGUAGUUGUGGAG